CAGGAUGGACCCGCGUCUGAUUAGCUAGUUGGUAAGGUAACGGCUUACCAAGGCGACGAUCAGUAGCCGACCUGAGAGGGUGAUCGGCCACAUUGGAACUGAGACACGGUCCAAACUCCUACGGGAGGCAGCAGUGGGGAAUAUUGCACAAUGGGCGAAAGCCUGAUGCAGCAACGCCGCGUGAGUGAUGAAGGCCUUCGGGUCGUAAAACUCUGUCCUCAAGGAAGAUAAUGACGGUACUUGAGGAGGAAGCCCCGGCUAACUACGUGCCAGCAGCCGCGGUAAUACGUAGGGGGCUAGCGUUAUCCGGAUUUACUGGGCGUAAAGGGUGCGUAGGCGGUCUUUCAAGUCAGGAGUGAAAGGCUACGGCUCAACCGUAGUAAGCUCUUGAAACUGGGAGACUUGAGUGCAGGAGAGGAGAGUGGAAUUCCUAGUGUAGCGGUGAAAUGCGUAGAUAUUAGGAGGAACACCAGUUGCGAAGGCGGCUCUCUGGACUGUAACUGACGCUGAGGCACGAAAGCGUGGGGAGCAAACAGGAUUAGAUACCCUGGUAGUCCACGCUGUAAACGAUGAGUACUAGGUGUCGGGGGUUACCCCCUUCGGUGCCGC
rnacentral:rRNA from 1 species